UGGCGGCAGGCCUAACACAUGCAAGUCGAACGGUAACAGGAAGCAGCUUGCUGCUUCGCUGACGAGUGGCGGACGGGUGAGUAAUGUCUGGGAAACUGCCUGAUGGAGGGGGAUAACUACUGGAAACGGUAGCUAAUACCGCAUAACGUCGCAAGACCAAAGAGGGGGACCUUCGGGCCUCUUGCCAUCAGAUGUGCCCAGAUGGGAUUAGCUAGUAGGUGGGGUAACGGCUCACCUAGGCGACGAUCCCUAGCUGGUCUGAGAGGAUGACCAGCCACACUGGAACUGAGACACGGUCCAGACUCCUACGGGAGGCAGCAGUGGGGAAUAUUGCACAAUGGGCGCAAGCCUGAUGCAGCCAUGCCGCGUGUAUGAAGAAGGCCUUCGGGUUGUAAAGUACUUUCAGCGGGGAGGAAGGCGAUGCGGUUAAUAACCGCGUCGAUUGACGUUACCCGCAGAAGAAGCACCGGCUAACUCCGUGCCAGCAGCCGCGG
rnacentral:rRNA from 1 species